rnacentral:rRNA from 1 species
AUUGAACGCUGGCGGCAUGCUUUACACAUGCAAGUCGAACGGCAGCACGGACUUCGGUCUGGUGGCGAGUGGCGAACGGGUGAGUAAUACAUCGGAACGUGCCCAGUUGUGGGGGAUAACUACUCGAAAGAGUAGCUAAUACCGCAUGAGAACUGAGGUUGAAAGCAGGGGAUGGUAAGACCUUGCGCAACUGGAGCGGCCGAUGGCAGAUUAGGUAGUUGGUGGGAUAAAAGCUUACCAAGCCGACGAUCUGUAGCUGGUCUGAGAGGACGACCAGCCACACUGGGACUGCGACACGGCCCAGGAUGCUCCGGGAGGCAGCAGUUGGGAAUUUUGGACACUGGGCGAAAGCCUGAUGCAGCAAUGCCGCGUGCAGGAUGAAGGCCUUCGGGUUGUAAACUGCUUUUCUACGGAACGAAAAGCUUCGGGUUAAUACCCUGGAGUCAUGACGGUACCGUAAGAAUAAGCACCGGCUAACUACGUGCCAGCCGCCGCAGUAA